rnacentral:rRNA from 1 species
UGGGGAAUAUUGGGCAAUGGGCGCAAGCCUGACCCAGCCACGCCGCGUGAGUGAUGAAGGUCUUCGGAUCGUAAAGCUCUGUGGAGGGGGAAGAAAACCCAGCGGGAACAAUACCCCGCUGGCCUGACGGUACCCCUUUAGCAAGCACCGGCUAACUCCGUGCCAGCAGCCGCGGUAAUACGGAGGGUGCAAACGUUGCUCGGAAUCAUUGGGCGUAAAGCGUGUGUAGGUGGUCUGAUAAGUCGGGUGUGAAAGCCCUGGGCUCAACCCAGGAAGUGCAUUCGAAACUGCCAGACUUGAGUACGGGAGAGGGUCGCGGAAUUCCCGGUGUAGAGGUGAAAUUCGUAGAUAUCGGGAGGAACACCAGUGGCGAAGGCGGCGACCUGGACCGAUACUGACGCUGAGACACGAAAGCGUGGGGAGCAAACAGGAUUAGAUACCCCCGUAGUCC